CUGAUAGAUAGCACGUGGGAUAUACUUACCCUGAUAGAUAGCACGCGGGAUACACUUACCCCGAUAGAUACUGUGUGGGAUAUACUUACCCUGAUAAAUACUGCAGGGGAUAUACUUACACUAAAAAAAAGGACUCGCUGCUUCUCUGGAAUUCAAAUUUACUUGGGCGUCCCGGGUCUUUUGUAGCUGUCAUGGAUCUCGUUUUUAUUUGUGCUACAUCUGGCCACCUUAGCCUGGCACAAAAUGUAUUCACCAAUGUUCAUUGAACGAACGAACGGAGCUAAAGCAUAUCAGCUGAAAGAAUAAACAGAUGAAGCAGUGAUUGAAACGCACAGGCAUUAUUACUAUGGUUGCCGUUGUUGUCUCACUGAUGGCUCAGAAGUUCCUGCCUCUGAGAACAUUCUAUCUAUCCCAGGCCCAGACCAUGGGGGGAAGUCGGGGCUUGCAGAGCAAAGUGAUUCACCCAAGGCCUUCAGGGCUGUCGCUCCUGAGGCGGGCCAUCUGCACCCCCAGACAGCCCCCAUCCUCCAAGCCUGAAACACACCCCAGCCUGAAUCUCAGAAUAACCCCACCAGGCUGGGACAGCUACCCUCCCCUGCUACCGAUGAAGAAACCGAGGCUCAGAGAGGCAAAGGGACUCAUCCACGCUGACAGUGACCCCCCCCGGGACCCUUCUCUCCACACUGGGGGCAGAGCCUGGAGCCCGAGAGCCACAGCUGGCAGAGCUCCAGGCUGGGCUGGAGCUGAUGAGUAAACCAAGCCUCAAAGAGAUUGUGGCAGCUGCCGCCAGGGUGAAAAAUCAGUAGAGGUGGAACUUGAAUCCAAACAGACUUUCCUGGUAGCUCAGACGGUAAAGCGUCUGCCUACAACGUGGGAGACCUGGGUCCAAUCCCUGGGUCCGGAAGAUCUCCUGGAGAAGGAAAUGGCACCCCACUCCAGUACUCUUGCCUGGAAAACCCCACGGAUGGAGGAGCCCGGUAGGCUACAGUGCACGGGGUCGCAAACAGUUGGACACGACCGAGUGACUUCACUUCACUUGAAUCCAGUCAAAGGACUAGGAGGGCCCCUCCUUCAGGGCCGCAGCCUCAGUCCACUCCAGUUCAGAGGCGGUAGCUCCCUAGCCCCCGCCCCUCUCCCGUAACUUUCAACCUUGAUCUUCAAGGGCCUCCGAGGGCACUCUCAGGACGUGUCCUAUGAAUUACCAAAUAGGACCUGUCCUAUGAAUUACCAAACCUCCUCCGGGUGUUCACCGCCACCCGCCCUGCCCCCAAC
ensembl:lncRNA